CGCAAAAUCGGCAGCACAACAGUGACUUCAAAAGAAAUUGACGGGACUGUGGAGGCUUACUAGGAAAUUUUUAGAAGGUUUGUUGGUUAAUUUCUCAUUCCGGAGAAAUUUAACUCCAUCACUACCAUGUUGGGGGUUCCCUAAUGCCAGAUGACAUCUCCAGGAAAGCAAAGAGAGGUAUACACCACAAAUGGCAGAGCAUAAAGGAUGGCUGGGAGAUUUGAUAAACUUACUGUUGUAGGAGAACAAUUUGAAGCAUUGAUAUAUAUUAGAAAAUUGUGCUGUCAGUCUUUUGUAUGUUGGAGGACAAGCUUCCCCUUGAAAACUGGAACAAAUGUGAAAUGAAGAAUGUGUAUCUUUAUAUUGAGAACUUUUCCUUGUAAAAUCACCUCUGGGAAAAAGUUUAUUUCAUAUCAAUUUAUUGUGUUCAUUAUCUGGUCUAAUUUUAUAUUUGUAAUUGUUUUAAAAUUGCAUGGCGAAACACAUUUUUGCUCACCGGAGUCAAAAGCUUAAAUGAGUUUUUUGAUCCGAUUUCUUUGUUGUCUGUUGUGUUGUAAACUUGUUACAACUUAAUUUUUGUUCAAAUGAUGCCCCUUCCCCUCUGGGAGCUUGAGACCAUUUAUAAAGUUAAACUUCUCAAAAUGGAACUGAUAUCUUCUUUUUUUCAAGCCGAGAUUCUCAGGUGAUGUACAAAGUAUGUACUUUGUAGUGACAUCAAUUAGAAGCAAUAUCAUUUUUAAACCGCAGUUUGAUAGCAGAAAUUUUAUUUUCAAGAAAAUGUU